rnacentral:lncRNA from 1 species
UACUUUUAUCUUUUUCUCUCAGUAUUUUUAUCUUUCUACUUGUCUGAUCUCCAUUUUUUCUCUUCUCAUCUUGCAGGAAAACUAUUCAUUUUUUGAACAACAACACAAGUAUACGAAAUUUGUUUUCUCUUUCACAAAAGGUAUGAAGAUACGAUCAAACUUUGUUUUUUUUUUUGUUGCUAAUUUAUCAUCUUUGUUCAUUUAUUCUAUUUGUCCUCAAACUCUAUCAUUUUUAGCAUGCUUACCAACUCGAUCAAACAAAUAGUUUAUUUUCUUUAUAUGCAGAUUACCAACACUAAAACAAAGUUGAGGCUUAAGGAUGUAAAUAUGGUAAUACUCAAAGACUUUAAAUUUUAUUAUUGUUUUUGUUCAAAUUUGGUAUGCAGUUUUGAACAAAUAUUUGUUGUUGUUCUGUUUUCUAACAUAUGUUGCUAUUUCUUACUUUUCUUUUUCAGAUCUGUAAAUGAAAAUUUAAAAAAAGGAAAAAGUUGAAGGUUGUAAUCUUACUUUUCUUUUUCUUUUUCUUUUUCAGAUCUGUAAAAAGUAUAUCAAUACUUAACAUAAAUUAAAUAUUGUUAGACAGAAGACAUGAAAAUUUAAAAAAAAGAAAAAGAUGAAGGUUGUAGUCUUCCUUUUCUUUUUAUUUUUCAGAUCUGUAAAAAUUAUAUCAAUACUUAACAUUGAUCUUAAAUAUUGUUAGAUAGAAGACAAUGAAAAAAUUUAAAAAAAAAAUGAAGGUUGUAAUAAAUGGAAGUGAAUAGUAAUGAGAAAAGAUAGAAAUAAGGUUACCGAACAAAUACAACUUCUUUGUACUCUUUAUCUUUUUAUUCUAUAUUAAUAUUAGUUUUAAUUUUUCACCACUCAUUAAAAUAUCCUUUAGAUGAAUAAAGAAGAUCAUAAUUUAACAAUAAAUUUCUUGACGAAAUCAAAGAAAAAUGGAGAAAAUAAAAAAUAUGAAACUAUAUAUUUUUAAAAGAUAAAAAAAAAAAACAAUCAAAUCCAAAAAAAUCAAUCAAAGUUUCUUGUCCUUUUGUUUUUCACUUUCAUUAAAUUUUGCAACAACUUNNNNNNNNNNNNNNNNNNNNNNNNNNNNNNNNNNNNNNNNNNNNNNNNNNNNNNNNNNNNNNNNNNUACAAACAAACCAAAAAGGAAUAAAAACAUAUAGUGCUCUUCAUAUACAAAUUGAAAAUCCAAAUAGAUCUAAAAAAACACAAACAGAACAAAUCUAAAAAAUUAACAGCUACCACAAGAAAAGUUAAGUUUAUAAAUCUAAACUUUAUUAUUAUUGUUGUAUGCAUGAGAGAAGGAAAGAAGACAAAAGUAAUAUAUUUACAAAAAAAAAUCUAAUGACAAAUACCAACCAUGUACUCACAAGAUAUUUACAAAAUAGAAGGAUUUCAUUUUCCCACACGGUGAAUGCAAUUUCCGGCGCGGUUGUCACCGGUGAAAUUAGUCCGAUCUGGAUUUUUACUUUGUGAGUUUUGUAGUGAAUAUCAAUGAGAGUCUUUAUAUGAUGGUGAUUUUUUUGAAGGUUAUCUAUGGUGAUGGAGAUCUAGAAGAAAAGGUCGCGGGUCGGAGAAAUAUAACAUAGAAAGAAAAAAAAAAUUGGUGGAAGGAAGAUAAAUGAUAACUUGAGAAGAUGAGUUGCCGUUGUUCCUUGUCUUUCCCUUCUGCAUCUUUGAUUUUGCCGUUGUUCUUUUACAAAUGGAGGAGAUGGACAUCACUUUUACAAAUGGAGGAGAUUGAUUUUGUCAAAUAAAUUAAAAACAAAAGAAACAUAGAGGAAAGNNNN